rfam:Oscillibacter sp. KLE 1745 genomic scaffold Scaffold301, whole genome shotgun sequence.
GAACGCCGUGUGCGGUGAAAGCCGCACGCACGGUGUGAAGCGGGGGAAAAGACGGAAAGCGGCGCUGACGCGCCGCUCAGGUCUUACCUAUCGCUAU